GUCGGUGUUACCGAGAAACGCUGUCUGCACACACAAUUCAGCGAACAAAAGGAGAACAUUGUCAUCCACCAAAAUGUAGCACCAAGCUCCGGCACAGCCUGAUUGGCCUCCUCUAAAAUGUUGAUGAGCUCAAUGGGCCAUUUCCAACCAUGAAGCAUCACUAUUGUGACUGCUUCGCUGGAGCAUCCUUCGCUGGAGCUGCUUAAGCAUUCCUAUACAGUUCUUUGCUCUAGAAGACGCAGACAGAGAAAGGUGCGCGGAUGUGUUGAAGUAAACAAGUGUCGCUGUCACAACCCGACACCACAAUGGAUCACUUUACUGAGCAUACAAAGGAGCGAGGAAAGUAGGAGGUGAAAGAGUGGGAAAUGACAAGCACUGUGAAAGCCACCAGCGAAGGGGCUUAGAGGUACCUGACUGAGUGCAAUACAUUGCAUUUGUAGAUUAGGACACGUAGCACGUCAGCGGUCAUAGGGACGCUAUCGAAAACCUCUGCUUUGAAAUAAUAAGGUUCAUUUU